UACGUAGGGUGCGAGCGUUGUCCGGAAUUACUGGGCGUAAAGAGCUCGUAGGUGGUUUGUCGCGUUGUCCGUGAAAACUCACAACUCAAUUGUGGGCGUGCGGGCGAUACGGGCAGACUGGAGUACUGCAGGGGGAGACUGGAAUUCCUGGUGUAGCGGUGGAAAUGCGCAGAUAUCAGGAGGAACACCGGUGGCGAAGGCGGGUCUCUGGGCAGUAACUGACGCUGAGGAGCGAAAGCGUGGGGAGCGAACAGGA
rnacentral:rRNA from 1 species